rnacentral:misc_RNA from 1 species
AUUAGACACAAAUUUGUAUACCUAAGCCAAGAAAUAUCUACCGCACCAUUUCCUUCACAAAAAGCACGCCUUCAGAUGUACAUUACAGCUCUCUAAGAUAUGCAAAAUAUGUUGAAUAAACCCACAAAUUUCUUACAAUUGAUAUUGGUUUUCUUUGAUGCCGUCUAGCCAGAUUUUCUAUAAUGCAUACAUAGGUCAGACUCUAUUGCUGCCAACCAUAUUGCUGGUUACGGUUUCCACUCAUCUGGUUAGAACCUCUCCCUGCACCAGAACCUCCAUAUUGACCACUUUGGGAGUAAUUAGGUGGACCACCAUAUCCACCACUCGGUCCCCGGGGACCACUGGGAGCCAACCCACUGCCGGGAAAAGGAGGGGCUCGUCCCUGAGGUGGAUAUGCCCCACUACUGUAACCUCCGCCCUGUGCCCCACGAUCUUGAUAAUAGCCCCCACCAGGGUUUCCACCUGGAGGAUAUCGAUUUGAUCCUCCAGUACCACGAGGCUUUCCAAACUGAUGAUGACCAGCCCCAGCAGAUAUUGCAGGCUGGGAAUUGCUCAUUUGAUGAGUAGAUCCACCCCAGUGCUGGGAAUGACCAGGCUGUUGGAUAGGAGGGAGGCGCGAAUGUUGCUGUGGGUGCUGCAGCUUGUGCCUUUUGGCCAUUUCUUCAUUCUGUCUCUGCUGUUGCCUCUUUUUCUUAGUCUGGAACUCAUGUGAUGAUUCGUAUUUAGGUAGGCUUCUAGGAUCACAAGGUAAGGGGUCGGUCCAGAAAUAUUCACCAUCUAGAGCAUCCUUUGCACAUAUUCUCUGAGAUGGGUCAAGAUUCAGCAUUUUGUCUAAUAAAUCCAAAGCAUGGCGAUCAAAAUGCCUAAAGACCUCUCUAACUCGUCUUUUCAUUGGCCUUGCUGGCUUGAACUUGCUGUACCAAGGAAUCUUUGAUACACCAGGCCAGUUAAUCUCAUCAGGUGUUCCACAAAGCUCAAAUAUUUUGUUCAAUUGUUCAGGCUCAUUUUUCCCAGGUAAGAUUGGCUUUCCAAAUAAAAGUUCAGCAAAUAUACAACCAACGGACCACAUGUCAACAGCGGGUCCAUACUUUGUGGCUCCAAGCAACAAUUCCGGAGGU